CAGAGCUCGGAGCUCGGCUCCGGGAGCCGCUGGGUUUGGAGGUCCUGGGAUCCUCGGGGAGCUUCUCUUCAUCCCAGCGCCAGGUCCUGGCUGGGUGAAACCAUCUCCACGGGGCCGUGAGGAGAGAGGGUUUCACCUGGGAGAGGUUCCUGACCACCAAAGAGGCUCCUGGAUGUCUGAGCUGCGGCCCCACUGAGGAUUUUUUUGGGGUGUUAUCAGCUGCUCUGGUUGAUUUAUCAGCAGAGCCAGGCUUAGACAAUUUUGGGGUUUUGGGGACAAACCUCAGCUCUCGUUUGUGGGCGCGCAGGGCAGAGGCUGCGAGGUCCUUCCUGAGGCUCCUUGGAGGAAACUCCAACAGCUCCUGCUCAUCCCCAACCGAGGGACAGCUGUGUCCUGAUCCCAGUCCUGAUCCCAGUCCUGAUCCCAA
rnacentral:lncRNA from 1 species